rnacentral:misc_RNA from 1 species
CUGAGUUAUAAAACUCCCAAACCCAUGUGAACUUACCUUUUGUUGCCUCGGCAGGGCCUGUUGGGGGGCGUAGCCCCUCGCCAGCGGCCUGCCGGUGGACCACCAAAACUCUUGUUAUUAUUGUGGAACUCUGAGUUAAACAAACUUAAUAAGUUA